AUGUUAGAGUUAUUCUAGAUUUUUGAUAUGAGAUUUCAUAUUGUUUAUUGUUAUUUUCAAACUAUAUUACUAUAUUGGUAUAAAUGUGCAGAGAUUCUUACUGAACUGUAAAGCUCACCCCUUUCAAUUCUCUUUUCUUUUUAGAGUUGCAAGAUGCUCAUGAUUAGCUAUGCAUGGUUUGCGCUCGUGGAUAAAUAGAAGAAUAGAU
rnacentral:lncRNA from 1 species